GCAGUGGUGGUUCAGUGGUAGAAUUCUUGCCUUCCAUGUGAGAGGCCUGGGUUCUAUUCCCAGCCUGGGUU
rnacentral:tRNA from 1 species